rnacentral:rRNA from 1 species
GCCAACUUGCGAAAGUGAGCGAAUCCCAAAAAGUGCGUCGUAGUCCGGAUUGGAGUCUGCAACUCGACUCCAUGAAGUCGGAAUCGCUAGUAAUCGUGGAUCAGAAUGCCACGGUGAAUACGUUCCCGGGCCUUGUACACACCGCCCGUCACACCAUGGGAGUGGGCUGCAAAAGAAGUGGGUAGUUUAACCUUCGGGGGGACGCUCACCACUUUGUGGUUCAUGACUGGGGUGAAGUCGUAACAAGGUAGCGCUAGGGGAACCUGGCGCUGGAUCACCUCCUUAUACGAUGAU